CUGGAGAAAAGAGGCGUCGGACUCCUGGACGGGGUUGGGAAACGGUCACCAGUUUCGGCUCAAAGCAGCCUGUUUCCAGGAGGCCGCCAUGGUCGAGGCAGCGUCCUGGUCCCACGAGACGGGGAUCUUGUCGUGUUGCCCAAGCUGGUCUGGAACUCCUGGGCUCAAGCAAUCCUCCCACCACAGCCUCCCCAAGUGCUGGGAUUACAGGCAUGAGCCACCACACCAAGACGAUGAAAGAGUGGCAAUUAAAGAUUCCCAGGAGAACCUGCUAUUUCAACCUCCCGCCUCCUAUAACUGUGGGGGCCUAUUUCCUACUGGAGCAUAUUAGAAGCAAUGCUCCAGGAGCUUCUUACCAGCUUGAUCUCAAAAAGGAUAAAAAACCUGAACCAUUAUCUACCUGUUUGUCUUUCUGUUGGCUUCGAUCUCCUGAUGGCCAGAGUCUCCAGGAAUCAUUGUCAAUAACAUCAGCAAGAACAAUUUCUUUGGUGGUUACAUCAACACCAAAUUCAAUCUGGAAACAGCAUGUCAACAAAGUUUCAAAAACUAUUCUAUGAAAACAUCUCUCAACUAUAACCUUUACUUUCAAAUCCUAUUGUUUUAUCUGUACCUUCAUAUCAACCAGUGUACAAUUCUGGGGCAACCAGGAUUUCUCCAGUAUUUCAAAUAUAGCCUGUGUAGCAUGACUCAUGAUAUCCACUUCAGUCUGGCCUAUAACAAGUCCAGCAAAGCAAAAUUUUGCAGCAAUCAGCUGUUCUGCAGACCACUGUGGGUCAUUAUUGGCAUCAUCCU